rnacentral:rRNA from 1 species
UACGUAGGGGGCUAGCGUUGUCCGGAAUCAUUGGGCGUAAAGCGCGUGUAGGCGGUCCGGUAAGUCCGCUGUGAAAGUCGAGGGCUCAACCCUCGAAUGCCGGUGGAUACUGUCGGGCUUGAGUACGGGAGAGGCGAGUGGAAUUCCCGGUGUAGCGGUGAAAUGCGCAGAUAUCGGGAGGAACACCAAUGGCGAAGGCAGCUCGCUGGGACGGUACUGACGCUGAGACGCGAAAGCGUGGGGAGCAAACAGG